rnacentral:rRNA from 1 species
UACGUAGGGUGCGAGCGUUGUCCGGAAUUAUUGGGCGUAAAGAGCUUGUAGGCGGUCUGUCGCGUCUGCUGUGAAAAUCCGGGGCUCAACCCCGGACUUGCAGUGGGUACGGGCAGACUAGAGUGUGGUUGGGGAGACUGGAAUUCCUGGUGUAGCGGUGAAAUGCGCAGAUAUCAGGAGGAACACCGAUGGCGAAGGCAGGUCUCUGGGCCACUACUGACGCUGAGAAGCGAAAGCAUGGGGAGCGAACAGG